rnacentral:rRNA from 1 species
UAGGGAAUCUUCGGCAAUGGGGGGAACCCUGACCGAGCAACGCCGCGUGAGUGAAGAAGGUUUUCGGAUCGUAAAGCUCUGUUGUUAAGGAAGAACGAGUGUGAGAAUGGAAAGUUCAUACUGUGACGGUACUUAACCAGAAAGGGACGGCUAACUACGUGCCAGCAGCCGCGGUAAUACGUAGGUCCCGAGCGUUGUCCGGAUUUAUUGGGCGUAAAGCGAGCGCAGGCGGUUAGAUAAGUCUGAAGUUAAAGGCAGUGGCUCAACCAUUGUAGGCUUUGGAAACUGUUUAACUUGAGUGCAGAAGGGGAGAGUGGAAUUCCAUGUGUAGCGGUGAAAUGCGUAGAUAUAUGGAGGAACACCGGUGGCGAAAGCGGCUCUCUGGUCUGUAACUGACGCUGAGGCUCGAAAGCGUGGGGAGCGAACAGGAUUAGAUACCCUGGUAGUCCACGCCGUAAACGAUGAGUGCUAGGUGUUAGGUCCUUUCCGGGACUUAGUUGCCGCAGCUAAACGCAUUAAGCACUCCGCCUGGGGAGUACGACCGCAAGGUUG